ensembl:lncRNA
AUGUUUUUAAUUAAAUUGGGUGCUUGAGAACUGUCAGAAUCGAGGUGGGCUGCAAUCUCUCCCGUCCUUGUGGCUGAUUUGCUUGGCUCCAUCCACUGUAAGGCAUUUCACGAGCAAGCAGCACUUACGAGUGCUGCCCGCUAAGUUUGUAAAACGUUGUCUAAAAGUUUAGAAAGAUUCAGUCCCUUUCCAAAGGAAUGUGAAGAUGAAGUCACAGACCAUGUGUUUAGGGCUCUCUGGCCUGGCAGGAAUUCUGCACCCUGGGAAGAGUUCAGAGUGGUCUGCAGGCAGGUUCGCAUGGGAGUUGUCCAGCCUUUGGGACUCUAAGCCUUUAUAUCUAACUCUGAGAUAUGGGUUAUCAACCUUUUAAUUGAUUUUUUUAAAGUUUUUCCUGCCUUCAAAAAGGUUAUCUGUUUAAACAUGUCCUGGGUAAUUUUGUGUAUCCAUAGAGUGGGAAGGGAGAUAGGUUGACGUUAAUGUUUUGGGUGCUCUCCAUGGAGGUUAUUCUGGCACUUUCUACCGCCCUUUGGCCACUUGAUUCGAAGAGCCAACUCAUUGGAAAAGACCCUGAUGCUGGGAAAGACUGAAGGCAGGAGGAGAAGGGGACGACAGAGGAUGAGAUGGUUGGAUGGCAUCACCUACUUGAUGGGCAUGCAUUUGAGCAAGCUCCGGGAGUUGGUGAAGGACAGGGAGGCCUGGCGUGCUGCGGUCCAUGGAUCACAAAGAGCUGGACAAGUUGUAUCUGAACAACACAAUGAACUGAACAACAACCUCAUCACCGCCAUUUCAAGUUUCUCCCGCCCUCCGGGGCUCCUUACUAAAACCAACGUCCUCAUUAAGCUUUUUGGGUCCUUCAGCGAGAGGUGGUGGCUCUUCCUCCAUGACCCCCAGUGGUGUUUUGCUUGUAUUUCUUACACCAUAAGAAAUUUCUUACACCAUUUCUUACACUCUAAGAAGAAGAGUUGUUUGGGCGCUUCUGUUGUGUCCUCUGACAGUACGUUUUGUGAAGACUUUAUUUUACUAUAUUCUUAACAACUCUCACAUCACCCGGCAGGCUGGAGUAACUGGUCUUGAAUCUGAUCGAGAACCUUGAGCACAGGAGAUGCCUAUCAUCUAGUUGGCCUAGAGGCAGGCCUGUGGCAAAGCUGGGGCCAAGAAGUGAUUCUCAACAGAGAGAACUAAAAAUGAAGCUGGAUAUGCAGUGAGUCUCCAGAGACUAUGUCUUAAGAAGUCACCGAAGCCUUGAUCUUUCUCUACAUGAAAAUUAAAUCCUCUUCGGAAAAUAUCAUAAAGUCAAAAGUCAGCCUAAAUAUGGAAGAAACUAUUUGCAAGGCAAAUUUUCUUAAUUUACAAAGAGUUCAUUAGGUCAUUAAUAUAAUCCCAUAAAAGAAAGGUAAAUGAGACAGGAAAUUCACAGAGAAGAAUACAAAUCAAUGAAAGAUGUAAGAAAAUAUAUCCACAUUAUUCCUAUUUAAAGAAAUACAAACAAGAAACGGAAAAAGAAGAUGAAAAGCUUUAUGAAGAUAAUGAAAGGAAGCAUCUCUCAAGAACCUCAGCAAGAAUAAGAAAGUGGUUCCGUUUCCUGAAAAGGAACCAAAUGACAUUCUAGAGGAAAAACACACACCUGUACUACUAGACACCCCAGCUGAGAAAGAAGACCAGAGAGACCCACCAACAGGACAGCAGUCACAAGAGUCAUCACCAAGACAGCCAGACGUGAAACCGGAAAAGCAGGAAUCAGUUGAACGGUCGUCCUUGGGACAACCGUCCCGGGAACAGCUGACUCAGGGAGAAGACGAAGAGCAAGAAAUGCCAUGAAAACAAAGUAUCAGCCGUAGCUGUGAAGAACAAAGUCUGAAGCUAGGAAGGAUCAAAAGGCAAAUGAAAAUCACAUUAGGCAUUGUUUUUUUCACAUAAUGCUGAAGAGAAAGAAGAUGGAUUUGGGAUGGCCUGGGAGUGGAAACC